rnacentral:rRNA from 1 species
CUGCAUAUCAACCCUGAGGCGUGAUGACGAUGCACUACGGUGCAGAAGUAGUUGAUGCCCUGCUUCCAAAAAGCCUCUAAGCUCCGUAACAUUGAAUCGUACCCCAAACCGACACAGGUGGUCAGGUAGAGAAUACCAAGGCGCUUGAGAGAACUCGGGAAGGAACUAGGCAAAAUGGUGCCGUAACUUCGGGAGAAGGCACGCUGGCAUGUAGGUGAAGUCCCUUGCGGAUGGAGCUGAAGCCAGUCGAAGAUACCAGCUGGCUGCAACUGUUUAAUAAAAACACAGCACUGUGCAAACACGAAAGUGGACGUAUACGGUGUGACGCCUGCCCGGUGCUGGAAGGUUAAUUGAUGGGGUCAGCCGCAAGGCGAAGCCUUGAUCGAAGCCCCAGUAAACGGCGGCCGUAACUAUAACGGUCCUAAGGUAGCGAAAUUCCUUGUCGGGUAAGUUCCGACCUGCACGAAUGGCGUAAUGAUGGCUGCUGUCUCCACCCGAGACUCAGUGAAAUUGAACUCGCUGUGAAGAUGCAGUGUACCCGCGGCAAGACGGAAAGACCCCGUGAACCUUUACUAUAGCUUGACACUGAACAUUGAGCCUUGAUGUGUAGGAUAGGUGGGAGGCUUUGAAGCGUGGACGCCAGUCUGCGUGGAGCCAUCCUUGAAAUACCACCCUUUAAUGUUUGAUGUUCUAACUCGGCCCCAUAAUCUGGGGUGAGGACAGUGUCUGGUGGGUAGUUUGACUGGGGCGGUCUCCUCCCAAAGAGUAACGGAGGAGCACGAAGGUUAGCUAAUCACGGUCGGACAUCGUGAGGUUAGUGCAAAGGCAUAAGCUAGCUUGACUGCGAGAGUGACGGCUCGAGCAGGUACGAAAGUAGGUCUUAGUGAUCCGGUGGUUCUGAAUGGAAGGGCCAUCGCUCAACGGAUAAAAGGUACCCGGGGAUAACAGGCUGAUACCGCCCAAGAGUUCAUAUCGACGGCGGUGUUUGGCACCUCGAUGUCGGCUCAUCACAUCCCGGGCUGAAGUAGGUCCCAAGGGUAUGGCUGUUCGCCAUUUAAAGUGGUACGCGAGCUGGGUUUAGAACGUCGUGAGACAGUUCGGUCCCUAUCUGCCGUGGGCGUUGGAAGAUUGAGAGGGGUUGCUCCUAGUACGAGGACCGGAGUGAACGCACCACUGGUGUUCGGGUUGUCAUGCCAAUGGCAUUGCCCGGUAGCUAAGUGCGGAAAAGAUAAGCGCUGAAAGCAUCUAAGCGCGAAACUUGCCUCAAGAUGAGUCUUCCCCGCCUUUAAGGCCCUGAAGGAACGUUUAAGACUAAGACGUUGAUAGGCUGGGUGUGUAAGUGCAGCGAUGCAUUGAGCUAACCAGUACUAAUGAUCCGUGAGGCUUAACCUA